rnacentral:rRNA from 1 species
UACGUAGGGGGCAAGCGUUGUCCGGAAUCAUUGGGCGUAAAGAGCGUGUAGGCGGUCCGGUAAGUCGGCUGUGAAAGUCCAGGGCUCAACCCUGGGAUGCCGGUCGAUACUGCCGGACUAGAGUUCGGAAGAGGCGAGUGGAAUUCCUGGUGUAGCGGUGAAAUGCGCAGAUAUCAGGAAGAACACCCGUGGCGAAGGCGGCUCUCUGGGACGGUACUGACGCUGAGACGCGAAAGCGUGGGGAGCGAACAGG